AGAUUGAACGCUGGCGGCAGGCCUAACACAUGCAAGUCGAGCGGCAGCACGGGUACUUGUACCUGGUGGCGAGCGGCGGACGGGUGAGUAAUGCCUAGGAAUCUGCCUGGUAGUGGGGGAUAACGCUCGGAAACGGACGCUAAUACCGCAUACGUCCUACGGGAGAAAGCAGGGGACCUUCGGGCCUUGCGCUAUCAGAUGAGCCUAGGUCGGAUUAGCUAGUUGGCGGGGUAAUGGCCCACCAAGGCGACGAUCGGUAGCUGGUCUGAGAGGAUGAUCAGCCACACUGGAACUGAGACACGGUCCAGACUCCUACGGGAGGCAGCAGUGGGGAAUUUGGACAAUGGGCGCAAGCCUGAUCCAGCCAUGCCGCGUGAGUGAAGAAGGCCUU
rnacentral:rRNA from 1 species